ensembl:lncRNA
CGCAGGCUCCUCCCGCGGGCGGGGCCUCCGGGCCACCCCGCUGCGGCGCAGGUGUUGCUGUCCGGGGUCCGAGGGCUGCCUAGUGGUGCCGCCUACUCCGCCGCCCCGGCCGGGCUGAGCCGGCAAGGGGAAGCCGCAGCGGGGUUGCGGUCGGCGCCGCUGAAGGGAGCUCGCAGCGGCCUCCUCGGCUGCCUCGUGCCCUGUCCUGAAAGGUCCCGGGACCCCGAGGAGCGGAGGAGAGAGCCGCCUCUGCCAACGCAGAUUCGGGGUCAGCACGUGGGGUGCCGUGAACCGAGCGCUCAAGCCCCAGUGUUACACCGGCAGGAGGGUGCGGGGGAGCCCCGAGUCCGGGAGAGGGCCGGUCCCCCUGUUCUGGGGUCUCCCCUCGGCCACCCCGCACAGUCGUCUGGAUGCCCGGGUCAGGAAACCCCUGUGCACCUCCCCGAGUCAAUUUCCGAGAAGCAGUGGAGUAAAUCCUACUUAAAGAAGAGAUACCUACGGGCUUCCCUGGUGGCGCAGUUGUUAAGAAUCCACCUGCCAAUGCAGGGGAUACGGAUUCGAGCUCAGGUCUGGGAAGAUCCCACAUGCCACAGAGCAGUUAAGCCUGUGCACCACAACUACUGAGCCCGCGCGCCUAGAGCCCGUGCUCCGCAACAAGGAAAUCACCGCAGUAACCAGACCGCUGACCGCAACGAAAAGGAGCCCCGCCCGCAACUAGAGAAAGCCAGCGCGCAUCAACGGAGACCCAAUGCAGCCAAAAUUAAUACAUAAGUAAAUUUUUAAAAAAGAAUAGAUACCUAAAGCACCUAAAAUUUUGUGUUACAGUUGUUUUGAUGUUAUCUGUCUUCUGCUAAAGGUCAAAAAGAUAUCAGAACCCUUUUAAAAUGACCAGGAUGUAUUCUGCGGUCCCAUGGAUUUAUUCAAAUUUCCUAUAACCAUGUUAUUUUACAUUGGAAAUGUGUAUACUCUCCUUGAGGAAUAGUGACAUCCUGAAUCAUCUAAAAAUAAGUCAGCUGUGUUCCCUAGUUAUCAAGGAGAAAAAAGCGUAAUAAUACAUUUUGGAGGGAAAAAAAAAACUCAGCAAGCAAAAAUUAAAACAUAAAAAUUAGGGCUUCCCUGGUGGCGCAGUGGUUGAGAGUCCGCCUGCCGAUGCAGGGGACACGGGUUCGUGCCCCGGUCCGGGAAGAUCCCACAUGCUGCGGAGCGGCUGGGCCUGUGAGCCAUGGCCACUGAGCCUGCGCGUCCAGAGCCUGUGCUCCGCAACGGGAGAGGCCACAACAGUGAGAGGCCCACGUACCGCAAAAACAUAAAAAUUAUAUUAGCAGCCCUCAAAUUAACUACCAACUUUCAAUUACCCAUAAUACCUGUAUACCUUAGUCUUCUCUUAAGGUUUUAUUCUACAUAGAUUUAACAUUUUAUUGAGAUCACAGUAAUAAUAGGCUGUUCACUUUGUCCUGUCCAAAGCCUCUGAAUAAUCUCUGUUCUUAAUACUUUUUCUCUUGUCAUUUUCCCCCCCACACUCAUAGAUUCAAUAAAUAACACCAAAUUUAUAUAACUGGGCCUGACCUAAAGUUUAUUUCUGAUUUUCAGUUUCAAACCAGGCAUUUCUACAUGGAUUCGUGCCUCAAAUUCAUCCGCCUCUAAACCUUAUCAGUUCCCUUUCC